GUGAUGACCAGUGUGGAUGGGAAAUGGAGAAUAGCAGAAUGCAGACACAUAGGAGUGAGACAGGUGGCAGCACAGGAGAGAGUGGAACCCACCUGACAGAGUGACACCUCCAGCUGCCCAAACUCAUGAUCAACAUUGACUUUGCAUAAGGGAAUCAAGCUUCAGACAGAUUAGUGUGUUGUUACUCUAUUAAGCAAGUUGAGAACACCUCCCCAAACUUUCUGCUCAGAGAGAAAGAAGGUGGACUGCAGAACACCUGAGCCAAGGCCAGAAUUUUUCUUCAAGAAACAUCUUUGCCUCCAUUCCAGGACCUGGGUGAGGCCUCUGAAGAAACACAUAAAUCUGCAGAAUUGCAUGGGACUCAUCUUCCUGGCACUGGUGCCUGGGCAGAGCUGACGUACCUAAGCUCGACCUGGAAAUUUUUCAGAGCAGAAGUGGAAUCACUACUGAAAGAACAUGCCAGUGUUUAAUUUUAAUGACUAUUACCAGCUUGUCUCCCAGAGAGCACAGCCAUUCACUAUCCCACUACCACUAUGGCUGGAUGCCUGUUUCUCCACUCUAUGACCAAUCAAGUGUGUUAUCAAACUUGUCUCUGCUAAUUUGGAAGUGCAAUAGCCACUAUCUCCAGAGCAAUGGAAAAUAAGCAUGAUGACCUUCAUGGGAAGGAGGUUGGUGUUUCCUAUGAAGCAUGAUUUCGGCUCUUGGGUUGAUAUAUAAGGGUAUUUGCCAUGUUUAAGAGGAAGGAACCUCAAUGUAAUUUCUAAGUGGGAAAGGAGGAAUCCAGAAGAUAAAAGCAGGCACGCAGUGAGAGAGAGAGAAAGAGGCAGAGACACAGGCAGAAGGAGAAGCAGGCUCCAUGCACCAGGAGCCCGACGUGGGACUCGAUCCCAGGUCUCCAGGAUCACGCCCUGGGCCAACGGCAGGCGCCAAACCGCUGCACCACCCAGGGAUCCUGCUGGCUCCUAUUCUAAAGAACUUUUCAUUAGUUGUGGCUUAGGAAUUGCAUGUUAAAUAAGCUUUCCAGAUAAUUCUGAUAACAGAUCACAUGUAUUAAGUAUUUGUUGCUGCAAAACAAAUCACCCAAACUUAGCGAUUUAAAACUACACCCAUUGGGGUGUCUAGGUGGCUCAGACGGUUAAGCAUCUGACUCUUGAUUCUGGCUCAGGUCAUGAUCUCGGGGUCAUCAGAUGGAGCUCUGCUUCUGAGCACUGACUGUGGCACCUGCUUAAGAUGGUCUCUCUCCCUUUUGUCCACCCCCUAACCCCCCGACCCUGU